AAACGGGUGGUAAUGCUGGAUGCUCCAACUUGACGCAUGUCUUGUUGGGGAAAAGUGUUUAGUGGCAUGGGAUGGGGUCGCGUCCUAUCAGCUUGUAGGCGGGGUAAUGGCCCACCUAGGCUUCGACGGGUAGCCGGCCUGAGAGGGCGGACGGCCACAUUGGACUGAGAUACGGCCAGACUCCUACGGGAGGCAGCAGCC
rnacentral:rRNA from 1 species